AACAGCAUCAUCUUUCAACCAACAAACAGUCUGGUAUAAACUGAAUAAGCAUCAUCAUCUCUCAACCAACAGACCGUCUGGCAUAUAUUGAAUAAGCAUCAUCAUCUUUAAACCAACAAACAGUCUGGCAUAUACCUAAUUAGCAUCAUCAUCUUUCAACCAACAACAGUCUUGCAUAUAUACUGAAUAAGCAUCAUACUCUUUCAACCAACGAGAAGUCUGGCUUAUACCGAAUUUAGCAUCAUCAUCUGUCAACCAACAAACACUCUGGCAUUUACUGAAUUAGCAUAAUCAUCUCUCUACCAACAAACAGCCUGGCUUAUACUGAAUAAGCACCAUUUCUCUUAACAUACAAUAGUCUGGCAUAUACUGAAUUAGCAUCAUCAUCUCUCAACUAACAAACAGCAUAGUGUGUACUGAAUUAGCAUCUUCAUCUCGAAACCAACUAGCAGUCUGGCAUAUAUUGAACAAGCCUCAUCAUCUCUCUACCAACAAACAGUCUGGCAUAUACUGAAAUAGCAAAAUCAUCUCUCAACCAACAAACAGUCUGGCAUAUACUGAAUUAGUAUCAUCUUUCAACCAACAAACAGUCUGACAUAUACUGAAUAAGCAUCAUCAUCUUUCAACCAGCAAACAGUCAGGCAUAUACCUAAUUAGCAUCAUCAUCUUUCAACCAACAAACAGUCUGGCAUAUACCUAAUUAGCAUCAUCAUCUUUCAACCAACAAACAGUCUGGCAUAAACUAAACAAGGAACAUUAUCUCUUAACCAAGUAACAGUCUGGCAUAUAUUCCAUUAGCAUUAUCUUCUAUACCAACAAACAGUCUGGGAUGUACUAAAUGACUAUCCUCAUGUCUCAACCAACAAACAGUCUGGUAUAUAUAAAUUCAGCAUCUUCAUCUCUCAACCAACAAACAAUCUGGUACAUACUGAAUUAACAUCAUCAUCUCUUUACGAACAAACAGUCUGGCAUAUACCGAAUUACCAGCCUGGUGGGUACUGAAUCAACAUCAUGAUCUCUUAAGCUAAAAACAGCCUAAUGUGUACUGAACUAGCAUCAUCAUAUCUCCAACUACUGACAGCAUGGUGUGAUCUGAAUCAACAUUAGCACAUCUCAUUAUUAGACAUACUUGUGUGAACUGAAUCAGCCUUCUCAUCUCUCCAUGACAGAUAACCAUGUUUAAAUUUCAUCAGCAUCAUCAUCUCUCAGCCAACAGACAAUCUAGUAUCGACUUAAUAAGCCUACACAUCUCUCCACCAACAGACAGCCUGGUCUAAACUGGAACAGCCUUUUAAUCUAAAAACUAACAGCCAGCCUGGUCUGUACGGAAUCAGCAUCCUCAUCGCUCCAUUUACAGAUAGCCUGGUGUGUACUGAUACAGACCUCCAUAUCUCGUGAUCAACAGAUAUCAUGGUUUGUACUGAAACAGCUUUUCAUCUAUCAACCAACAAACAACCUGGUGUGUUAUUAAUCAGCAUCAUCAUCCCUCCACCAACAGAAAAAACAGCUGAAGCCAACAAGAAUUGACUUUUAGGAAUGAUGUUUGUGCCAUAUGAUAAGUAACAACUACUUAAGUUUAUUUUUCCUACACUUUUAGUUGUGACCUGCAGCAGAUAUUUUAGUCAAUAUUUCACCAUUGUAAAGCCCUGCAGCUGAAGAG